UUUGGUGGCGAUGGCGGAGGGGUUCCACGCGUACCCAUCCCGAACACGACCGUUAAGCCCUCCAGCG
rnacentral:rRNA from 1 species